rnacentral:rRNA from 2 species
GCAUAUCAAUAAGCGGAGGAAAAGAAACCAACAGGGAUUGCCUCAGUAACGGCGAGUGAAGCGGCAACAGCUCAAAUUUGAAAUCUGGUCCCCUCUGGGGGCCCGAGUUGUAAUUUGAAGAGGAUGCUUUUGGCGAGGCGCCUUCCGAGUGCCCUGGAACGGGACGCCACAGAGGGUGAGAGCCCCGUAUGGUAGGACGCCGAGCCUCUGUAAAGCUCCUUCGACGAGUCGAGUAGUUUGGGAAUGCUGCUCAAAAUGGGAGGUAAACCCCUUCUAAAGCUAAAUAUUGGCCAGAGACCGAUAGCGCACAAGUAGAGUGAUCGAAAGAUGAAAAGCACUUUGAAAAGAGAGUUAAACAGCACGUGAAAUUGUUGAAAGGGAAGCGCUUGCGACCAGACUUGCGCCCGUCGGAUCAACCGUCCCUCGUGGGCGGCGCACUCCGGCGGGCUCAGGCCAGCAUCAGUUUUCCUGGGGGUAGAAAGGCGGUGGGAAUGUAGCUCUUCGGAGUGUUAUAGCCCGCCGCGUAAUGCCCUCGGGGGGACUGAGGACCGCGCGUAUGCAAGGAUGCUGGCGUAAUGGUCGUCAGCGACCCGUCUUGAAACACGGACC